UUGAGGCUUCGCCCUCCGGAAGCUCUGCCCACCUCGGCCCUCUAACCCAAGUCCCAGCGGUCUAGAUGGCGUCGCUGGGUUAGAGGAAAACGGCCCUGGUCGAGCCGCUCAGCUCUCUCACCUCGGGUUGUGGCUUAGGUUCAGCGCGAUCCAGGGUACGAAGCGGUACUUGUAACGACGCCAUCGCUGCCAGAGGCCGCGCAGCAGGCGGCCCGGCAUGGCUGUUCUGUGGUGCCGUGAAGAGGACGGCACUGGGGAGGCGGGUUUUCUCGGGCCCGCCCCGACCCGAGGAGGAGCAGAGGCCGCGCCGUCCCUCCCCUUCGCGGUCUCAGCACUCAGUGCCGCGCUCGGCGGCCCCGGUACCUCCUGGCCUCCUGUCGCCGUGUCUCCGUGCCUCUGCUUUAUUGACCCCAGCUCGCUGAAACAGAGAGUGAAUUAUAAUGACAUACUAUCAAAUGUUGCACCAUCCUUGGAUUCCUGAGAUAACCCUACUCAAUUGUGACUGAGGAAGUUAUAUAAGCAUGGGGAGACCUGGAGGAGAUUACGGCAGGGGAGAGGCGCUGGGGAUCAGCUCGGAGGACUAAUACUACCCACUCUGCACAGACUGUGUGUUUUAAGUGCUUUACUCUCAGGCCCAGAGGCACUGGGGAAACUUUUUUUCUCCUUACUCCUGGAGAUUCAGAUUUCACUGUGCGGCCUGAUGGGGAGCUGCCAGGGGAAGGACUGCGUCGGCCUUUGGGAGCUGAGGAAGCAGCGCUUGCGUGGCCUUCUCCUUGAGACUCAGCUGCCAAGCCAUUCGUGCUUCCAGGCUGGCAUACAGGUUGCCUUCAGUUUCUCCCUGAUCAUUCGUUCUUCUGGGCGAUCGUCCAUCUUGUGCAACCCCUUGAGAGUUUCUUUAUUCUCCAUCUCACGACUAAAAUGGAAGGAGAAUGAGAUUUAUAUAUGAAAAAAAAUUUCCAAGAACAAUACGGUUCUAUUUCAUACUUUCAAUGGACAUGUAACUAAAAAGAUAACUGUUAAAACCCCUAAAUGAUUUAAGCAAGAUAUGAAAAUACCAUUGUGAAUCACAUUAUAUUGUUGAAAU